rnacentral:rRNA from 1 species
AACGUAGGUGGCAAGCGUUAUCCGGAUUUACUGGGCGUAAAGGGUGCGCAGGCGGCGGUUCGCGUGGCGAGAUGAAAUCUCCUGGCUUACCUGGGAGGAUGGUCGCCAGACGGGAUCGCUUGAGGGUCGGAGAGGGGCGUGGAAUUCCGGGUGGAGCGGUGAAAUGCGUAGAGAUGCGGAGGAACACCGAUGGCGAAGGCAGCCCCCUGGGUCGACACUGACGCUCAGGCACGAAAGCGUGGGGAGCAAACAGG